GAUAUUUCACACCUCACAAAGUUUCUUUAAUAUUUCCUUUUCAUCUCCAUCUCCCCCACGUCCUCAUUCUCUCUACUUUCCACUUUGCCUCCCACACUUGCUUAUUCACUGAAGAAAAAACAAAAAAUUCACAGAAUCGUUAACCCAACAAUUUGCAAUCGUAUAAGCUUUAUCGUUCGUUCCUUCUAAGCCUUUCGCAAUUUGUAAUCGUUCGUUUCAAGCCUUCUCCCAAGUGUUGGACGUGGUGUUACUAGCUAACAAUCAUAUAAGCUUUAAAGUUUCUAUUAAUACUCUUUCUGUCUCCGGCGACGGUGGAGUUUAGGUCUUUUCUCUCGGAUGGAUGCAAAAUAAGAUAGCUCGAGUUGAACUGAUACAAUGAAUUGACAUUGGCCUUGAAGUGUUUUGGCUUGCUCUUUACUUUGUUGCUAUAGCCACUCUUGCUGCACUUGUUGGGCAACAUUUGGUGAUCGUCUCUCUUUUGGGGUAGCUAUCAUUCUGUCUACUAUAACCUCCCUUUUUGUUGAUAGUGAGUUGUAUUUAUUUUGUUCUGUAAGUAUUUCUCUAGUCCUCUUAAAAUAUGUUUUCUUUUACUAUUUCAAUAAUAUUAAUAAGACCCGAAAAUGUAUUUAUCAAUGGAUGUAGUUAAAACUCUAAUUCAGAAAAAUUGCAAAUUCUACACGGAGAUAAAAAUUUAUCUUUAAAAUCAGAUUUUCUUUAAUAUUUAGAAUAAUAUAAUUAUAUUGUUUUUAUUAUAUAUGUUGCUAUUUGCGUUGUGAAAGUUACAUGGUAUCUCAAAAUAUUUGCCACGUGAAAUUCACCUGGAAAGUUUUUGAAUAUUCAAAUAUUGCUAGGUGAAACUCACCCCGCAAGUCACUUAACAUACAACUGUACCCUGCUCUGAACUAACUGUGCACAUGGAAUGAAGUUGUCUGCAAGUCUUGAAAAGCGUGUUUGCGGGGUGCUUUUUAUCUGGAAACGUUGCGGGGUGAAAAUCACCUGGCAAAGUUGCGGGGUGCUAAUCCCCUUGCAAAAAGUUACGACUAACGUUUUUGCAAGGUGAGAGUGUCACCUCGCAAGUGUUACGUUGCAGGGUGAUAUUUGUCUUUGCGGGGUGGUUUGCACCUGGCAAACAUGAGUUUUUUUGUAGUGCUUUGAAUGCGAAUAAAUUUCUUUAUAAAUGAAAAUGGUGUUUCAAACGUACAUUUCUCAUAUACUCGUUUCUCAACACGCUUAGAUACUUUGAGUAAUUUGAGUACACUACAAUGUUGAACACACAGAAAACUUAAUACUAAGACCCCUAUUUAUACUAAUUCAACUAUAAUGGUCAUCUGUUCAGAAGAUGGCACGUUUAUGUCUGCAUGCACUUCGUCUCUUACAAGUCUCCACACGUCCUUUAUAAUGAACGGAUAAGGCCAAAAUACAGUUUCUGGCCAAUUUCGAAUGUUUCUGUGUCGGACUCCAAGUCAAAUAGAUUCAAAUCUUUUAAGUCUCAAAUAGAACAUGAGCUUGCCAUCAUGGCCAAUUCUUAGCUUAUUUCUUGUCCAAAGCAUCCAAAUGCUCUGCCGAAGUCAGUUUCUUCUACAAAAUAUUUUCUUUUACUCUCUUGGCAUCUCUUCCUUAGUGAGUGUCGAAUUUGUAGCUAAUAAAUUGUCCCCCAAAAAAGUCUUUUUCGACCAUAUGGAGAAACGAAUAUUUUUUUAGAGUCUUCGACGCGACUGUCCAUUCACUACUGUGGUCAUUAUGACCACUUUUCCAAAACAUCUCAUCGAGACAUGAGACUAUGUAUUGUGAUGGAAAAUUUGCGUUUCACGAAAGAAGCAAGCACGUUGAGUUAGAUUGUCAUGUGGUUCACGAAAAGAUCACCUCCAACUUAAUACACUUGCUUCCCAUUUCUUCUUCAGCCCAGUUAGCUGAUGCUUUCACAAAGCCACUGCAUUCUCCAACCUUUUCCACAAUUAUGACCAAGUUAGACCUUUGUAGCUUACACAACCCAACUUGAGGGAGCAUAUUAGAACUAUAC